GUGAGGAAUAUUGCGCAAUGGAGGCAACUCUGACGCAGCCAUGCCGCGUGCAGGAAGAAGGCGCUACGCGUUGUAAACUGCUUUUAACCGGGAAGAAACCCCAGGACGUGUCCUGGGUUGACGGUACCAGAGGAAUAAGCACCGGCUAACUUCGUGCCAGCAGCCGCGGUAAUACGAAGGGUGCAAGCGUUAUCCGGAUUCAUUGGGUUUAAAGGGUGCGUAGGCGGAGCGUUAAGUCAGUGGUGAAAUCCUGCAGCUUAACUGUAGACUUGCCAUUGAUACUGGCGCUCUUGAGUGCGCUUGAAGUGGGCGGAAUGUGCCGUGUAGCGGUGAAAUGCUUAGAUAUGGCACAGAACACCAAUUGCGAAGGCAGCUCACUAAGGCGAUACUGACGCUGAGGCACGAAAGCGUGGGGAUCGAACAGGAUUAGAUACCCGGGUAGUCC
rnacentral:rRNA from 1 species